UAUCAUGUUGAAACAUUGGUUCUCGUAUGAUCACUGAAGUUGAGCAACAUUGAGCCUGAUCAGUACCUAGAUAGGUAACCCCUUGAGAAUACUAGGUACUGUAA